CCUACGGGCGGCAGCAGUGAGGAAUAUUGGUCAAUGGACGAGAGUCUGAACCAGCCAAGUAGCGUGAAGGAUGACUGCCCUAUGGGUUGUAAACUUCUUUUAUAUGGGAAUAAAACGUUCCACGUGUGGGAUUUUGUAUGUACCAUAUGAAUAAGGAUCGGCUAACUCCGUGCCAGCAGCCGCGGUAAUACGGAGGAUCCGAGCGUUAUCCGGAUUUAUUGGGUUUAAAGGGAGCGUAGGUGGAUUGUUAAGUCAGUUGUGAAAGUUUGCGGCUCAACCGUAAAAUUGCAGUUGAAACUGGCAGUCUUGAGUACAGUAGAGGUGUGCGGAAUUCGUGGUGUAGCGGUGAAAUGCUUAGAUAUCACGAAGAACUCCGAUUGCGAAGGCAGUUCACUGGACUGCAACUGACACUGAGGCUCGAAAGUGUGGGUAUCAAACAGGAUUAGAUACCCCAGUAGUC
rnacentral:rRNA from 1 species